AGAUAAAACAAGAUACAUGAUGCCAUGCAAGGCAACAGAAUCCAGGCCAUACCCUUCCUUCCAGCCACAGUACAUCAGUCAAUCAAUGUACGCCUUUAUCAGAAGAACCUGCAUUAAAACGCUUGUAGAGCUUCCCCUUUCAAAGAGGGAAUAGUGCACAAAGGAAGCAGACGGAUCUGCUGCCAGAAAAAAAGUCCUUCUCAAACUCCAUGAAACUAGAGAAAGCAAAAUUGGAUUACUCAUUGGAUUAUCAUCCCAUCGUACUGCUGGACAUCUGACCUGCUGUGACAUCAUUGCCAAAAAUAAAACAACAAAUGACCCUU